rnacentral:rRNA from 1 species
AACGAACGCUGGCGGCGUGCCUAAUACAUGCAAGUCGAACGAAACUUUCUUACACCGAAUGCUUGCAUUCACCGUAAGAAGUUGAGUGGCGGACGGGUGAGUAACACGUGGGUAACCUGCCUAAAAGAAGGGGAUAACACUUGGAAACAGGUGCUAAUACCGUAUAUCUCUAAGGAUCGCAUGAUCCUUAGAUGAGAGAUGGUUCUGCUAUCGCUUUUAGAUGGACCCGCGGCGUAUUAACUAGUUGGUGGGGUAACGGCCUACCAAGGUGAUGCAACGGAGACGAACUGGGAGGGUGAUCGGCCACAUUGGGACGGAGACACGGCCCAAACUCCUACGGGAGGCAGUAGUAGGGAAUCUUCCACAAUGGACGCAAGUCUGAUGGAGCAACGCCGGGUGAGUGAAGAAGGUCUUCGGAUCGUAAAACUCUGUUGUUAGAGAAGAACACGAGUGAGAGUAACUGUUCAUUCGAUGACGGUAUCUAACCAGCAAGUCACGGCUAACUACGUGCCAGCAGCCGCCGUAAUAC